GAGUUUGAUCGUGGCUCAGGAUGAACGCUGGCGGCGUGCCUAAUACAUGCAAGUCGAGCGAACAGACGGGGAGCUUUGCUCCCCUGACGUUAGCGGCGGACGGGUGAGUAACGACGUGGGUAACCUACCUAUAAGACUGGGAAUAACUCCGGGAAACCGGGGCUAAUGCCGGAUAACAUGUUGGACCGCAUGGUCCUACAGUGAAAGACGGUCUUGCUGUCACUUAUAGGUGGACCCGCGCCGUAUUAGCUAGUUGGUAAGGUAACGGCUUACCAAGGCAACGAUACGUAGCCGACCUGAGAGGGUGAUCGGCCACACUGGAACUGAGACACGGUCCAGACUCCUACGGGAGGCAGCAGUAGGGAAUCUUCCGCAAUGGGCGAAAGCCUGACGGAGCAACGCCGCGUGAGUGAUGAAGGCC
rnacentral:rRNA from 1 species